rnacentral:piRNA from 1 species
UCCUUCCUGUGAGAUGCCGGUGCUCCAGU